rnacentral:lncRNA from 10 species
UAUCAAGCGACUCAGAACCAAAACCAGCAUGCUUUUUAUAAUUUCACCAUGGAUGCACUAGCCAUCUCCAAAGAGCAGCAAAAAAGCAGUGCUCACAAGAUCCAGAGCCACUCCAAAGAAAGCUGGAAGAAAAAAGAGACUUGGAGAUGAACAGGAAAACAAUAGCUGUCCACAGAAGGGAAAAGGAUCAAUAACAAAUGAAUAUCUUAAAAAGUUGAGUCACACAAAUAUAAAUUCAAAACAAAUAAUUCAAACUAAUUCUUGUAGAUGUUUCUUUUUUUU